GAAAGCGAAAUCGAGAAAUUGAGAAAUCGGGAAAUCGAGAAAUUGGGAAAUUGAAUAAUCGUGAAAGCGACAAAGCGAAAACACGAAAUCGAGAAAUUCAUUUCGCGUUUUCGUGUUUUCGCGUUUUUGCAUUCUCGAUUUCUCGAUUUCUCGAUUUCCCGAUUUCUCGAUUUCCCGAUUUCUCGAUAU
rnacentral:sRNA from 1 species